UACGGAGGGUGCGAGCGUUGUCCGGAAUCAUUGGGCGUAAAGGGCGCGUAGGUGGCCCGGUCAGUUCGUGGUGAAAGCGCGGGGCUCAACCCUGCGUCGGCCAUGAAUACUGCCGCGGCUGGAGCACUGUAGAGGCAGGCGGAAUUCCGGGUGUAGCGGUGGAAUGCGUAGAGAUCCGGAAGAACACCGGUGGCGAAGGCGGCCUGGCUGGGCAGUUGCUGACACUGAGGCGCGACAGCGUGGGGAG
rnacentral:rRNA from 1 species